AUAGAAGUAAUUUUGUUUUUGUAACAAGUUUAGAGUAUUUACCAAGUAAGAAUUGUAGUGAUUUACAUCUAGAGUUAAGGAGGAUUUUUUUCUUUCUUAUUUGGUUUGCCCAGGUUAAUAGUUGAUCUAGAAACAAGCCCAAAUAACUUGACCUCUAUGAUUUUUGAAAAUUAUGGUUGUGUAAAUUUAUAGGUGGUACAGUUCCACAGUGGUAAGUAAAAUAUAUGAUUACAUUGACUUUUUAAAUUUAUGUAAGCUAUUCAUUUGUGUUAAUUAUUUUGAUCUUUCCAUUGAUAAUUGUUUAGGGCUUCACCAGUUAUGACUAUAGACAUAAUUUCUUAUUUUAUAUAAUGUACAAUAUUAUUAUUAUUAAUAUAUAUUAUAUAUUAUUAUAUAUAUAUUAUUAAUUAACAUAAAUUCUUUUUUCUUUUGAUCAUUUUGAUUUUAGAUGUUUCAUACAUAGGCUUUCCGAAAAACAUCCAACAAAAAUUAUAAGGACGCAUUAGGAGCCUGGUUAAGACAGGCUAAUAAGCGCGUACCAAAUAAAAUUUUAUCAGAACAAGACAUUGCAUUUGUCUUUUAAAAGUGAUUUUUUUUUUUCAUUAUUUAGAUAUGUAAUUGUUUAAACAGC